rnacentral:rRNA from 1 species
UACGUAGGGUGCAAGCGUUGUCCGGAAUUAUUGGGCGUAAAGAGCUCGUAGGCGGUCUGUCGCGUCGGCUGUGAAAAUCCCCGAGGCUCAACCUCGGGUCUGCAGUCGAUACGGGCAAACUGGAGUGUUGCAGGGGAGACUGGAAUUCCUGGUGUAACGGUGAAAUGCGCAGAUAUCAGGAGGAACACCGGUGGCGAAGGCGGGGUCUCUGGGCAACAACUGACGCUGGAGGAGCGAAAGCCGUGGGGAGCGAACAGG